rnacentral:rRNA from 1 species
UCCUACGGGGAGGCAGCAGUGGGGAAUAUUGCGCAAUGGGCGAAAGCCUGACGCAGCAAUGCCGCGUGAGUGAGGAAGGCCUUCGGGUUGUAAAGCUCUGUCAUAUGGAAAGAAUGGUCAUUGUUCUAACAGGGCAGUGAUUUGACGGUACCAUAAAAGGAAGCACCGGCUAACUUCGUGCCAGCAGCCGCGGUAAUACGAAGGGUGCAAGCGUUGUUCGGAUUUAUUGGGCGUAAAGCGCGCGCAGGCGGACUAUUAAGCCAGAUGUGAAAUCUCGGGGCUCAACCCCGAAACUGCGUCUGGAACUGGUAGUCUAGAAUCUUGGAGGGGGAAGCGGAAUUUCGCAUGUAGGGGUAAAAUCCGUAGAGAUGCGAAGGAACACCAGAGCCGAAGGGGGCUUCCUGGCCAAGUAUUGACGCUGAGGCGCGAAAGCGUGGGGAGCAAACAGGAUUAGAUACCCUGGUAGUCCACGCCGUAAACGAUGUGCACUAGAUAUUGGAGACUUUGACCUCUUCAGUGUCGUAGCUAACGCAUUAAG